AACUGGCAAGUCCUAUUGUUACAGUAUAUGUACAAGUAAAAAUUUGUGAGGCCUCUAGAUUGUGUUGUGUAGUUUAUCUUCAAACUUUGUGAAGAAUUGGAAGGAGAAGCUUCGGUUGGCUCAA